rnacentral:rRNA from 1 species
UAGAUAGCCAUGCAUGUCUAAGUAUAAGCAAUUAUACAGCGAAACUGCGAAUGGCUCAUUAAAUCAGUUAUCGUUUAUUUGAUAGUACCUUACUACAUGGAUAACCGUGGUAAUUCUAGAGCUAAUACAUGCUGAAAACCCCGACUUCGGAAGGGGUGUAUUUAUUAGAUUAAAAACCAAUGCCCUUCGGGGCUCACUGGUGAUUCAUGAUAACUUCUCGAAUCGCACGGCCUUGCGCCGGCGAUGGUUCAUUCAAAUUUCUGCCCUAUCAACUUUCGACGGCUGGGUCUUGGCCAGCCGUGGUGACAACGGGUAACGGAGGGUUAGGGCUCGACCCCGGAGAAAACGCCUGAGAAACGGCGUUUACAUCCAAGGAAGGCAGCAGGCGCGCAAAUUACCCAAUGCCGACACGGCGAGGUAGUGACGAGAAAUACUGAUACAGGGCUCUUUUGGGUCUUGUAAUUGGAAUGAGUACAAUUUAAAUCUCUUAACGAGGAACAAUUGGAGGGCAAGUCUGGUGCCAGCAGCCGCGGUAAUUCCAGCUCCAAUAGCGUAUAUUAAAGUUGUUGCAGUUAAA